CAUUGAAACAUUGGUUCCCGUACGAUCAUCGAAGUUAAGCAACGUCAAGGUCAGUGAGUACCUUGAUGGGUGACCGCUUGGAAAUACCAGGUGUUGUGA